GUUUAAAUAAAUGGGAGCCUCAGGAAGAGGAGUGGAUUGGAAUUUGCUUGGGCUCAAACUGGGUAUGACAGCAAAAGCCAGCCUGGGAACUGCAAGCCUAGCCAAGCACUAGCAGGAGGAGGUAAGGAAAUGUACUGGGAUCAGGAUCCCAACAAAAAGGUUCCCGUGGAGGAAUAAAACAGCCUAAAGCUAAGCUUUUCAGAGGGCCCAUCCGUGAAUAGUUAUGAAUACUGUGUGGGCGUUCAGUACCUGGAACAAGACUAAAACUGAAGUUCUGCAGAUAUCUGAGGAGAAUCUCUUGAAUAAACCAGCAGGACUGUACACUGGUAACUAUGGAUUAGGGCCAAAAUAGAA